rnacentral:rRNA from 1 species
GCAUAUCAAUAAGCGGAGGAAAAGAAACUAACCAGGAUUGCCCUAGUAACGGCGAGCGAACCGGCAAGAGCCCAACUUGAAAAUCUGCCUUUGCAGAAUUGUAGUCUAUAGAAGUGCCCUCUGUAUCGGGCGGAGCUCAAGUCCACUGGAAAGUGGCGUCAGAGAGGGUGAGAACCCCGUCGGCUCUCGGCUUAGCUACUCCACGAGGUGCUUUCCACGAGUCGAGUUGUUUGGGAAU